UCAAUAAGCGGAGGAAAAGAAACU
rnacentral:ncRNA from 2 species